rnacentral:rRNA from 1 species
CCCUUAGAUGUUCUGGGCCGCACGCGCGCUACACUGAUCAGUGCAACAAGCAUCCGUCCUUGGCCGACAGGCCCGGGCAAUCUUUGAACGCUGAUCGUGAUGGGGAUAGACUUUUGCAAUUUUUGGUCUUCAACGAGGAAUUCCUAGUAAACGCAAGUCAUCAACUUGCAUUGAUUACGUCCCUGCCCUUUGUACACACCGCCCGUCGCACCUACCGAUUGAAUGGUCCGGUGAAGCCUCCGGAUUGGCGUGCACCCUCGGGUGCUGCCGAGAAGUUGGCUAAGCCUUACCAUUUAGAGGAAGGUGAAGUCGUAACA